AAGGAUUUAAGUUAAAUAAACUUAUAGCCUUCAAAGCUAUCAAUAAAGGUCCUCUUUAAGCCUUA
rnacentral:tRNA from 1 species